AUUGAACGCUGGCGGCAGGCCUAACACAUGCAAGUCGAGCGGCAGCGGGAAAGUAGCUUGCUACUUUUGCCGGCGAGCGGCGGACGGGUGAGUAAUGCCUGGGAAAUUGCCCAGUCGAGGGGGAUAACAGUUGGAAACGACUGCUAAUACCGCAUACGCCCUACGGGGGAAAGCAGGGGACCUUCGGGCCUUGCGCGAUUGAAUAUGCCCAGGUGGGAUUAGCUAGUUGGUGAGGUAAUGGCUCACCAAGGCGACGAUCCCUAGCUGGUCUGGGAGGAUGAUCAGCCACACUGGAACGGAGACAAGGUCCAGACUCCUACGGGAGGCAGCAGUGGGGAAUAUUGCACAAUGGGGGAAACCCUGAUGCAGCCAUGCCGCGUGUGUGAAGAAGGCCUUCGGGUUGUAAAGCACUUUCAGCGAGGAGGAAAGGUUGAUGCCUAAUACGUAUCAACUGUGACGUUACUCGCAGAAGAAGCACCGGCUAACUCCGUGCCAGCAGCCGCCGCGGUAA
rnacentral:rRNA from 1 species